GCUGUGAUGCGCGAGUGGUUAAGGCGUUGGACUUGAAAAUCCAAUGGGGUCUCGCCCGCGCAGGUUCGAAACCUGCUCGCAAGCG